UAUUGGACAAUGGGGUCAACCCGGAUCCAGCCAUGCCGCGUGUGUGAAGAAGGUCUUNNNCUUGUNAUGAACUUUAAGUUGGGNGGANGGGCUUUAGGCUAAUACCCUGAAGUUUUGACGUUACCAACAGAAUAAGCACCGGCUAAAUCCGUUCUAGCAGCCGCGGUAAUACAGAGGGUGCAAGCGUUAAUCGGAAUUACUGGGCGUAAAGAGCGCGUAGGUGGUUCAGUAAGAUGGGUGUGAAAUCCCAGGGCUUAACCUGGGAACUGCUUUCAUAACUGCUAAGCUAGAUUACGGUAGAGGGUAGUGGAAUUUCCUGUGUAGCGGUGAAAUGAGUAGAUAUAGGAAGGAACACCAGUGGCGAAGGCGACUACCUGGACUGAUACUGACACUGAGGUGCGAAAGCGUGGGGAGCAAAC
rnacentral:rRNA from 1 species